UGAAGUUUGCAUUGUAUUAUGAUUUGUUGAUGUGGUGUAUGAUAAACCCAAAUAGUCAAUAUGUGACGAAAAGGGAUUUACCAUUUUCAUCACAUUUUGACUCCGAAGUCAAUACCGUUUUUAUCACAUGCUGACAAAAUGGGUAACAAAUUAAGUAUAGUGCCUUUAGUCUAUUUAGAAUGGUUUGUCUUGAGAGCACAGUCAGGUACCGCAAGAGUAUUAGUACUACUGUAGUUUUUGUGAGCAGAUGGAGAAUGGUGCCUCGAACAGAGAAAGCAAAAGGAGUGUCACUUAUGCAAAUGAUCCUUCAUGUCCUGCAAAUGACAAUCACAUUGUGACUGAAACAACACACAAUGGCCCCUUGGACGGCAAAAUGCCAUUGUCCCCAGUAUCUGACAACCCAGAGUUCAUCAAAUGUGGCUCCCAAAUCAAGACAUCUGAGAAUAGCAGAGAGAAGAACAGAGAUGUCAAACCUAAGAUGGAGGUGGAAUCAGUAAAUGUUUCUCGAAACAGUAAACCACCAACAGUAUCCUGGGGCUCAUCAGGACAUCGAGGGACCGUGACUCUUCCUGAAACGUGA
rnacentral:lncRNA from 1 species